UACGGAAGGGGGCUAGCGUUGCUCGGAAUGACUGGGCGUAAAGGGCGCGUAGGCGGCGAUCAAAGUCAGGCGUGAAAUUCCUGGGCUCAACCUGGGGGCUGCGUUUGAUACUUGGUUGCUUGAGUGAGGAAGAGGGUCGUGGAAUUCCCAGUGUAGAGGUGAAAUUCGUAGAUAUUGGGAAGAACACCGGUGGCGAAGGCGGCGACCUGGUCCUUGACUGACGCUGAGGCGCGAAAGCGUGGGGAGCAAA
rnacentral:rRNA from 1 species